GGUCUCCGCACUCCUCCCGGGGCCUCCUACCGCCGCCGCUGGCCGGAGAGUCGCCGCCUGGGCCGCUGCUGUCGCCACCGAUGCAGCCGCGAAUGAAUGCACAGCGGCGCCUCGCUUAUCCGGAGGUCAAACAUCCUUCUGCCUCGAGCAUCCGGAUCGGGCCGGACCCGGAAGUGAACACAUGGAAAAAAAUAAAAGAGGAAAGCGUCUCUCCAGCGGCUGUGGAGGCCCCCGACUGCCCGCAGCGGCGAAAAGAGCCGAGCAGAGCCGAAGAUUACACUAACGUGCUCGGAUUGGUCGGAUCUCCAAGAGGAAGGCAGGCGGCGUGCUCAUUGGCUGGGGACUGCUCUAAAGGCUAAGCCCCGCCCCAUUCCCGCCUUCUGGCGAGCUCCUCCUGAGGCUGAGUGCGCCGCGGUUGAAGGUGCGAGUGUGUUUUUCCGGACUAGUCCAAGGCAGUGGAGGCUUGGCAAAGUGUCCGGAGAGAGCGAGGGGACAGCCCUGCCAUGGGUUAGGAGAGCUACUAAGAAUUCAGUGAGCAAACGGCCGUAAGGGCGCCGUUGGUGCCAGUCAAGGUGCCCAGCCUUGCUUUUACAGGUGCCAAGCCGUCCUAGGCCGGGCUGGAAGCAUGACAUCACCAGGCUGACGUUGUCUCCUGCUUCUCGCUGACCCCAGUGCUGUCAGGGAGUCGGGUGCUUAGAAGCACUGCCCGGCUCCGCCCUGCAUCUCCUGGGCCGUCUGUGAGGAGCGCCAUUCCGAGAUCUGAAUUUUGACAGCUUUUAGGCAAGAUUAACUGUCCAAAGAAUGUUGUUUUGCGAUAAAUGGAGUUAGUUCCCAUCCAUAGGAAUCAUGAAGUCUUCUGGCUGAAGAUGUAGAGUGCCAAGUAUGAGCUCCAGCUUCAUGUGGACCUCAAGAUCUGCCACUUGCCUGUCUCUCUAAUGUUUCCCAAGCUAUAGCACUGGAUUCUCCUUUGGUUACUUCUCCUAAAUGAAGCUGUAUCCUUUCCAAACCACUGUAGAGAAGGCGUAAACUUUAAGCUUGCUUUGGAAAUUUGUUCACUAGUUCCAGUUUUGACAAGAUUUUGCUUCUCUGGAUAAGUUCCUACUGUGAUGGAUUAUUUUCAGAUGACUAAACUUCAGUCAUUCUCCACUGACUAGGAUUGUUGGGUUACUCUAUCCUUCUGCUGGGUAGGACUACACUGCUGCCAAUGCUUAUCUAAGCCAUGUCUGACCUUCAUGUACCCUUUGGACAGUAAACAGGGAAGUCAGCCUCUUUGUCUAAUUAUGUUUCUUUGAUCUCUCAUAUUUGAUCAUACUUGGUCUUAACUGCAUCAUUCUCUUCACCAACUUGUACUGCUUAAUUCCUGACAUGUCAUCAUCCUCCAACUUAAUCUUAUUAAGUAUUGAUUCUAUAUCCGGCUGAACAAAAAUCACAAAGUCAACACGAGUUAAAAUUGAUGCAAGAGGAACCCUCACUUCUAUUUAGUUCUGUUUCACUGCUAUAAUUAGGAUUAUGCCACUUUUCAAUGUCCUUCUGUAUUUCUUCCUUGCACAAGCUUUUAAGUAGUCUAAACCUCAGUUCAUCUACAAAAUGGGACAAUAAUACCUAUAUCAUAUUUGAUAUCCACAAGAGUAAAUGCAAUAAUGUGUCUAUAAUAUAUUUACCACACUAUUUGGUAUAUAGUAAGUACUAAAUAGCUGUACUGUCUGAACCCUAGGAAUCUGUAUUUUAGAAGCCAACUGUAUUAUGAACAGUAAUAGAAGCUGAAAAUGUCAAAUAUCUAGCUAUUGUCUACUUUAAGAGUCUAAGACUUAGAACUGGACUUAGGACGCUAAGGUAAAACAUUUUUUAUUGAAUUUGAUUUAGGCCCUAUUAUUCUUUUUUACCAACUGUGUAUUGACAUUUAUGGGAUAAUGGCUAUCCAUUGUUUGUUUAUAAUUCCCUAGUAGAUUUCUACUGAGAUUUCUCCUAGUUGAGUUUUCACUACCUCACUCUAAAAGUAGUGAUCAGGGUCCCUACUUUUCAGUAAAAGUUUUAUAGAUGAGGGGGUAUCUGUGGAGAAUACAGUGCUCAAACAGUGCCAACUGAGUACCUUUUCUCUAGAUUUGAAUCUGGAACAGAGGAACAUGGAAACUAAAAACAGAAGGGCACUCCAUCCAAAAAGCAGCACUCUGACUACACAGUUUCUGCCACAAAACAGUGGAGAUCAUCCUACUUCCCUGUCUCUGUAGAAUUUUGGGUUCUGCCUAGACCAUGUCUUCCAGCUUCUGUCAAUUCUGUGAGACCCUCUUCCCAGCUGCCUUUUACUGAAUUCUAUUUUGCUUGCAAUACCUAGAGUGUAUUUUCAGUUUGCAACUGAAAAAUACUGAUGCUAGGCUUCAUUCCUGGCUUUUAUUUCAACUCUUCUCUGUGCCUCCUGUGUAUCCUUUCCUUGAGUGAUCUGACUGUGGGUCCACAUAAACACUUAAAUUCAAAGCCUUAGUUCAACUUUGGUUCAUUUCUUCAGCUUCAAUCUAAUGUAAUCUCUGUGUCAUUGUUGUGAGGCUCUCUGGCUUCAGGCUUAUGUUCUCCUAAUUGGCAAAGCUGGUCAUAGGGCUCUGCUGUGCCCUGUCACCAGGCAGCUCUACCUUGCUUCUUGCUGAAACCCUGCCAAUUGCAGACCUAACCCUUUGGAACAUGACUUAAUGCUUUGUAGUCUGCCAGUUUGGGUGACCUCUCCUAACAGAGAACAAAUUUCAGCCAAAUGCCAUUUCUUGCUGCUUUCUAGAAUGAUUACUUUAAUAUGCACUAGUGUAUAUUUGUCAAUUCAUAUUCAUAAUAACAUUCAAUAUAGUCCUGUAUCCCAUUUCUUAUACAUCAAUUAUAUUCUU